GAUGCGACCCUGAAAGCCCAGGCAACAGAAGCAGAGCGAGAGGAGUGGAAUGGCAUUGAACUACAAAGCCUCUCCGCAGCACAGGGAACAAUAGCCAGACUGAAAAGAUAACCUACCAAGUGGUCAAACAGUGACAUGGGCUGCAGAAAAGCCUGCAAGAAGACAAGGUGUUCAAGAGUGACAGCACUGUUGUCUCUGCUGGGAAGUGCUCCUGGGACAUUUUCACCUUGUCUGCAACGUUCAAGGGCUGCUGGAGGUCCUCCCUGUCGAUUUCAGAGGAUCUCUUCUGGAAACAUUCCUAUCCCAAGGUAAAGAUGAACGCAUGCACUUCUAAUGAGUCAAGUCCGGGAGGAAAACAUCAGUAUCCCUAGGCUU